rnacentral:rRNA from 1 species
GACCAACGCUGGCGGGGUGCAUGACACAUGCAAGUCGAACGGGGAGGAUCGGGCUUUCUCGGUUAACCUAGUGGCGGACGGCUGAGUAACGCGUAGGUGACCUACCCUGAAGUUGGGGAUAACUUCCCGAAAGGGUGGCUAAUACCGCAUGUGGUCGGCUGAUCGGUUCGCCGUCCAAAGCCGAAAGGCGCUUCCGGAGGGGCCUGCGUCAGAUUGGCUUGGUGGCGGGGUAACUGCUCACCAAGGCGAGGGACGGUAGCUGGGCGGGGAGGAUGAUCAGCCAGGCUGGGACUGAGAACGGCACAGACUCCGACGGGAGGAGGCAGGAGGGUAUUUUGACCGAUGGACGAAAGUCUGAGGAAGCAACUGCGCGGGAGGGAUGAAGGCCUUCGGGUAGUAAACCUCUUUUCCCAGGGAAGAUCCAAGACGGUACCUGGGGAAUAAGCCACGGCUAACUACGUG